rnacentral:rRNA from 1 species
GUGCCAGCAGCCGCGGUAACACGGGGGGAGCAAGCGUUGUUCGGAAUCACUGGGCGUAAAGGGCGUGUAGGCGGUUCGGUAAGUGGAAUGUGAAAUGCUCCGGCUCACCCGGAGUACUGCAUCCCAAACUGCCGAGCUUGAGUAUGGGAGAGGAUGAGGGAAUUCCUGGUGUAGCGGUGAAAUGCGUAGAUAUCAGGAGGAACACCGGUGGCGAAGGCGCUCAUCUGGCCCAAUACUGACGCUGAGGCGCGAAAGCUAGGGGAGCAAACGGGAUUAGAUACCCGCGUAGUCC